rnacentral:rRNA from 1 species
GACGUAGGGCGCAAGCGUUGUCCGGAUUUAUUGGGCGUAAAGAGCUCGUAGGCGGCUUGUUGCGUCGUCCGUGAAAACCCGCAGCUCAACUGCGGGCUUGCGGACGAUACGGGCAGGCUGGAGUUCGGUAGGGGAGACUGGAAUUCCUGGUGUAGCGGUGAAAUGCGCAGAUAUCAGGAGGAACACCGGUGGCGAAGGCGGCCUUCUGGACAGUGACUGACGCUGAGACGCGAAAGCGUGGGGAGCAAACAGG